GGGAAGGUGGCUCAGUGGUAGAGUGCAUGCCUACCAAGCAUGAAGCCCUGGGUUUGAUUCCUCAGUCCCA
rfam:Dipodomys ordii contig_61451, whole genome shotgun sequence.